GGGAGAGCGAUUGAGAGCGAUUUUUGUGAAGUAAAGUGGAGAGAAUGAGGACGAUGAAGUCUGUUACUUUUUUUUCAAUUUUCUUUCUUUAAUUUAUUUUAGAUAGAAUAAGUCUUUUUUUAAAACUAUUAAAAUUUAUGUUUACACUUCCUAAGUUUAGUCAAUAAAUGUUUUACAUUUUCAAUUCUUAUUCUGUUGAAAAACCCAACAGCCAGGCGGCUGGGUUUUAAUUUUUGGUCCC
rnacentral:lncRNA from 1 species